UACAGAGGUCCCAAGCGUUGUUCGGAUUCACUGGGCGUAAAGGGUGCGUAGGUGGUGGGGUAAGUCGGAUGUGAAAUCUCCGAGCUCAACUCGGAAAUUGCAUUGGAAACUACCCUGCUUGAGGGUCGGAGGGGGGACUGGAAUUCUUGGUGUAGCAGUGAAAUGCGUAGAUAUCAAGAGGAACACCAGUGGCGAAGGCGGGUCCCUGGACAACACCUGACACUGAGGCACGAAAGCUAGGGGAGCAAACAGG
rnacentral:rRNA from 1 species